AUGAACUCUGGCCCCUUCAGCGGCGCGGUGGGGCUCUACGAUGGGUUUUACGGUGGUUUCGGCGGCGGGCAUGGACAUGAACAUGGCUUUGGCCAGCAUCUGGGAGCGUCGACGUCGUCGUCGGUCCUGCUGGAUGGCGGGACGGGGGAGCUGGCCGCAGCCGCCGCCGCGGACGUGCCGAAGAGGAAGGGGGGAGCGCGGGAGGAGAAAGCGGCGACGGCCCUUAGGAGCCACAGCGAAGCGGAGCGGCGGCGGAGGGAGAGGAUCAACGCGCACCUCGCCACGCUCCGGAGCAUGGUCCCCUGCACCGGCAAGAUGACAAGUCAUGGAGCAUACAUACUACGUAGUGAACACACACCAAUAGCGCUGUCGCCCCGGCAGCACUUG
rnacentral:rRNA from 1 species